AGGAUAAACGCUGGCGGCGUGCCUAAAACAUGCAAGUCGAACGGACCCUUCGGGGUUAGUGGCGAACGGCUGAGUAACACGUGGGUGACCUGCCUUCGAACGGGGGAUAACUGCCCGAAAGGGUGGCUAAUACCGCAGAUGUCAUUGAUUCGGUUCGGUGACUGAACUUCCGGGGUUCGGAGAGGGGCCUGCGUCCGAUUAGCUAGCUGGUGGGUAACGCCUACCAGGGCGACGAUCGGUAGCUGGUCUGAGAGGAUGAUCAGCCAGACUGGGACUGCGAGACGGCCCAGACUCCUACGGGAGGCAG
rnacentral:rRNA from 1 species